rnacentral:rRNA from 1 species
UACGUAGGGGGCAAGCGUUGUCCGGAAUUAUUGGGCGUAAAGGGCGCGUAGGCGGCCACCGCAAGUCGACUGUGAAAUCUCCGGGCUUAACCCGGAAAGGUCAGCCGAUACUGCGGGGCUAGAGUGCAGAAGGGGCAACUGGAAUUCCCGGUGUAGUGGUGAAAUGCGUAGAUAUCGGGAGGAACACCAGUGGCGAAGGCGACUACCUGGCCUGUUCUUGACGCUGAGGCGCGAAAGCUAGGGGAGCAAACGGGG